CUCAAAUGCCUCCAGUUGCCUUCCAGCUGCCACGGGAGUCUCCUGAGUUCUGCCAACACAGGUUUUGCUGUAAAUAAUCAGCUUUGCAGUUCCAUGGUGUGACUGUACCCUACCUGCACUCUCCAAGGACCACAGUGUACAGGUCAUGCCAGCUUGGUGUAGUUUUCAUUUUCCACACUGCUUUAAUUAGCCUUCCUGGAGGAUCCACAUCACUCUGUUGGAACUCUAUGCUAGAACAAUUUAACAAGGAGAAGACUGCAAGAGUGGAAAGGAAGCAUCUGCCCUGUUCAGGCAGGGGAGAUCUGCUCCUCAGGCUGUAUAGACAGCAUGAAGAGUAGCACAUAUAUAAAAUACAUAAGGUCACAGGGCAGACAGCUUGGGAGAACAGCCCUGCGAGCCAUGGUGGGCAAGGACGCGGGGAUGAACCUGUGGGUGCGUUCUCGCGUGUCGCUGUUGUAUCGCUGAUGGAACCAAGGCAUGGGCGCCCGCGGCUCCAGCGAACCUCCCUGCUCUCAGACAAUGGCUCCCGCUGCAUUGUCCCCGGCUGCUGCCUUUGAAUCUUAUCGAGUCACACAAAUUAGCGAGAUCCGUGCACUCUGACCCGCUGCCCGAAACG